CAUUGCGUCAGUGUUUCUGUGCUCCAUCCUCCUUUGGAAUGCUCCUGCAUGGUUCUCAGUCUUGGUUGAGGUUCUCAGGCUCCACAGAGGGACCCAGCUGUGGGCUAGUGUGGGCACAGCUCUAUGAGAAGCAGAUGAACGCAGACUGGAAGAAAACUUUCCCAAGCAGCAACCAAGCACAAGCACACCAAGCUAACAGGGGCUGAAGAACUGAAGAAGGGAGGGGACUUUUGACUGACAUAAAUGCUGGCUGCAAGGAGAGAAGAACCUGACUGGGAGACAGGAAGAAAGGUGAAGAAAAAGAGACAAAGUGAACCAAGAUACCUGAGGCCAGUGAGCAGUUUAGUAACCACAUCUGAAUCAGACAUUGGGCUGUCUAGUGGGUCAGGAUCAAGUUAAUCAGAUCAGAUGCAGAGACUUUUCAAAGCGAUGAAUAGAGAGACUUCAGCUCCAGAAGAAAGAGGACAAGCAUACAGCUGUUUAAGCCUGGUACAAGGAAGCUGCAGAGGACUAGAGCAGAGCCGGAAAAGAUGGACCAUAUGGAAAAAUGUGAACUUGCUACUGAGGCAGAAAUAUGAAGAGCAAGUACCAUAUUUCAAGCAUUCUGUUUCCACAAGCAUGUUCUGGGAGUAGAUUUGUUUUCUUAGAACAAUGAAGACAAUGUGUAGUGGUUAGAUACCUAUUUUAGAUAACUGG